GACAGAGGUGGCGAGCGUUGUUCGGAAUCACUGGGCUUAAAGGGCGCGUAGGUGGUAGUGCAAGUCUGGGGUGGAAUCUUAGGGCUUAACCCUAAAACUGCCUUGGAAACUGUAUUACUUGAGUCAGUGAGGGGAGGGUAGAAUUCCCGGUGUAGCGGUGAAAUGCGUAGAUAUCGGGAGGAAGGCCUGUGGCGAAGGCGGCCCUCUGGCGCUGAACUGACACUGAGGCGCGAAAGCGUGGGUAGCAAAC
rnacentral:rRNA from 1 species